GGGGGAAGGGCGGGGGUGAUGCCGCGCGGUCGCAGGCUUGGGAUGGUGUUCGCGCCUCCGAGACCCGGACAGAGGCAAGCAGGGGCGCCGUGGGUGCCAGAGAGGCGGAAGAGGAGGCCUGAUGGGGAUACCUUCCUGCUGUCCUUCCUGAGCACAACCUGGCUGAAAACCUGGAGGUCACAACAGUACAAAGAAUCAAAGUCAAGAUCUUGUGCCAGAGAGCAAAUGAACUCUUCCUCUUGCUGAGAAAACCCACCCUGCUCACCUAAACCCUGGCCUUGCCUGGUAAUUCCAUCCAUGCGCCUGGAAGGCCCCAGACAUCAAGGCUCUGAGGGGCCAGGCACGGGGAGAACCCAGCAGUGCCCUGCCCUGCAGUCUGAGCUACCAGAUUCCUUGUGAAGAUAAUUUGAGGACCAUGACUCACCCAACCACAUUUCCUGGGGCCUCAAAUUGAAAAUUCAGGAUGGGCUUUUCUAUAUGACUGGCUGAUAUCCAACUAUGCCAUGGUCUUUACAUGCCAUGAACAUUCUUUCCUGCCAGAGUUCUAAGAAUCUGUGUUCUCUGCCUUAGACCUUCUGCAGAUGAGCCCACAGGAAGCUCCACGUGUAGCUGAGCUACAUGCACCAGGCCUCAGUUUGCCCCAAGUCCCCUGUGUACUCUCUCAUGGCCUGUGGCCAAGAAAUGUAUUCUCUCACUUUGGACUUAGGAGUCCAAAGAGAAGCCCAGAAACAAAAUUGCUUGAACUUGAAUUUGUGUGCGUGCGCACGUGUGCACGUGGUGGUGAAGGUGUAUGUUUUCGGCUGUUCUAUGCGUCACUGUCACCAAACUCCCAAAUAAUAGUAACAUUUGUUUAGAUGAUGUCUGCUGACAAAUCACAAACACGACGCUAACUCGCAACUCUCUGCUCCACUGGCACAGAAUAGGGCAUGGAGCCUGGUGCUGGGUGUCAGCCCAUGGUGUUGGGUGUCAGUUCACAGGCUGGGUAAGGGAGGGAAAAUAAUCCAUUCUUUGAUAUUAGACAUGACCCAAAAUUUCCUGCUGGCAGCCAAAGGCCUCCUCGCUCAGAGAAGUCAUCUGAAAAAAGCUAGCCCAGGGGCAGGAAAGGGCCUCAGGCUGGCGCCCCAGAAGGUGGCCCAUCAGUCACUCUGGGAAGACAGAUAGACAUCGUCAGUCUCUUUUUACAAGUCAAGACAGUAAAAUCAAAGUAAUAGUUUCCUGGCAGGAAGAAAGAGAAUUGCUGGAGCGUUGGAGAGCCAUCUCUUAACCUCUGGGGUGACUCAAAGGAAGAGUUGCCUGGUCUGAGAACUUUAGACCAAAGAAUUUAAAUCAUGUGAACUGAAAAUGCAUGUGUAUCCAUAUAUACAUGUACAUAUAUGUUUAUAUACCCAAUAUAGAAAGGUUACCAGAGACAAAGAAAUAGCAACAAUAGUUGUUUUGGGGAAGGGAAAGGAAGGGCUGUGGGGUGAGGAAGCAUACUUUCACUGAAUAUCCUCUGUACUGUGUGCAUUUUUGCCACAUGCAUGAACUAAACCUACAAGAAAAUAAACAAAUAAAAAAAAAGAACACACAGGUGAUCCUUUAAGAGAACAGAAGAAGGGAUGUUAUAACCUCUAAGGAGGCACAGUCUCUAGCAAACAGGCACCUGAUAAAUACAUGUUGAAUGGAUGAAAAAAUGGAUUAUCUCUUUAAUUCAGGGGCAUCAGUUUGGAGACAGUAACUUCCAGGACCAGUGGCAGGAGGAGAUUCAAGGUGGCUAGGAAAGCUCCUCAAAGCAAACACCAGGGUGCCUCCCUAUCCCCAGCCCUUCCCUGUCCCAAAGACAAAGGAUAGAAGCCCAGGCAUGGCCUAUCUUCCUGCUGGAUACAUUGCCUAAUUCAAAGAGAGCUACCAAUUCAGUGCUGUCACAAGUCAAAGAUUUGAGACGCUAAAAUACAGCAUCAUCAAAAGUCAAGUAAGAAUUAAGGUCGGGCGCGGUGGCUCACGCCUGUAGUCCCAGCUACUUGGGUUGCUGAGGCACGAGAAUUGCUUGAAUCCAGGAGGUGGAGGUUGCAGUGAGCUGAGAUCACACCACUACACUCCAGCCUGGGCAACAGAGUGAGACUCUGUCUCAAAAAAAAAAAAAGAAUUAAGCAAAUGUUAAGAAGGACCACACCUGCAUCGCUAUGAAGCAAAGUGUGACGUUUAAGCUGGCCCUUUCAUGACCCUUGAGGACAAGUAAUUCCAGCCCUGUGGCUGGCAGCCAGAGUGCAGCUCCUAAAGUCUUUCCUGUCUUAAAGGGGACAGAAAAAGGGAGGUUCCACUGGCAGCUGAAGCAGAGCCUGGAGGCACUGGGGUCAGAAGGACGGCAGAUUUCUCUUCUCUGCCGUGGGCUCAAAUGCAUUCAGGGCUUCUGGAAUACAGACGGACAAGUCUAUUGUUGUCCCUCCAUGACCUUAAGACUGCGAUCCCCUGGCAAGCUCUUCAGUCUUCAAGAGUCUGGUGCGGCAGAAGGUCCUCCUCCUACCCCACACCUCUAUGGCCCUGCUGGGAUUCUCAUUAACGGUGGGCCCCGCCUCCUGUGACCCAGGCUCUGACCCCGGAUCUCUAGGUGCAGGGCAGCCCCACAAGACAGAUGGGGGUUUGCAGAGCCACCACUCAGUUUGAGACAAGGGACCAUCAGGUCCUACCUCUUCAAAUGCCUACAGAGCCAGUCCUGGCUCCCUCCUUCAAGGCCUGAAGGUGGCACAGGCAGAGAGAAGCUGCAGGGAAGGGCAGAGUGGAUGCAGGCGUCCCCUUAGCCUCUCACUGCAGCGCCCCACACAAGGAGAGCCCUCUUCUUUGAACUUACUUGGCUCUAGGGAAUCAUCGAUCAAUGCUGCAACUUCGGAAAAUCCCUUCAAAUUCUUUCCCACCCCUUGGGUCACAUUUGGGAAUUCCCACAAGCCUCUUGUCAAGAGACGAAUUAUGCUCACUUGCCUGUGUAACCCUGAGCCACAAUCCCACCCCUUUACCCCACGUCAAAACUGAAGGUGUCAUAGGCAGCCACAACUGGGAAAGCACAGGGAGCGAGCCCGCGGAGGGGCAGACGAGGCUCACUCCAAGGCACCUUCUCUACAAGAGUCUCUCCAGCCUUUGACGGGUGCAGAAACUAGACGGGCCCACCGAAAGCAGAACGGCACAUCUGAGCCUGGAUUACUCCACAGGUGAAAGUGCAGGAGAGAAUAUGUCUGUCUGCUCCCAGCACCCAUGCCUGCCUGCCUACCUCGGCCUUAUCCAGGCCCUUCUUCUGUUGCAGGCUGAGCACAGCCAGGUUCCAGUCUGUGUUAAGAACAGCACUCUCUGCAACACAGUGGCUCUGCCUGUUUCUGACCCUGUCAGGGUAUAAAAGCUUCUGAUACUCUCAGGUAUAAAAGAGGUGGUGGUAAGUGAUAACUCUGGUGGUGGGCUGGUCUGGGAGAGACAGAA
rnacentral:lncRNA from 1 species